rnacentral:rRNA from 1 species
AUAUCAGUCAUGCAUAGCAUAUCAAUAAGCGGAGGAAAAGAAACUAACAAGGAUUCCCCUAGUAACUGCGAGUGAAGCGGGAAGAGCUCAAAUUUGAAAUCUUAAAAGGUUUUCCUUUUACGAAUUGUAGUUUAAAGAAGUGUUUUCUGUUGAAAUUUUAGUAAAAGUUCUUUGGAAUAGGACAUCAUAGAGGGUGAGAAUCCCGUAUUUGACUAGAAUUUUUCAACUUUGUGAUACACUUUCAAAGAGUCGGAUUGUUUGGGAAUGCAGUCCAAAAUGGGUGGUAAAUUUCAUCUAAAGCUAAAUAUUGGCGAGAGACCGAUAGCGAACAAGUACCGUGAGGGAAAGAUGAAAAGAACUUUGAAAAGAGAGUUAAAUAGUACGUGAAAUUGUCAAAAGGGAAGCGUUUGGCACCAGUGUUGUUUUUCUAAAAAUCAAUUUAAAAUUUACUUAUGUUAAGUAUUUUAGACUUUAUCAGCUAUAUAUUUAAUUUUUUGUAAUUUUUGAAUGCACUUUUUAGUUAACAAGUCAACAUCAAUUUCUUUUGUUGUAAAAAAAUAAGAGGAAGGUGGCUUGGAAUUUAUUUUCAAGUGUUUAUAGCCUUUUAUUUCUGCAAUAGGAGGGAUUGAGGUCUGCAGCAUAGAUCCUUCGGGGCUAGAUGCAUUUUCGCUAAGAGUCAGUAUUAUAUAAACAACUUGUUGAUUAUGUAGUAUGUUGAUUUUUACUCGGGAGUGUUAUUUUACCUACGCUUAGGAUGUUGAUCUACAGAGCGAGAGU